GCCUACGGGGGGCAGCAGUAGGGAAUCUUCCACAAUGGGCGAAAGCCUGAUGGAGCAACGCCGCGUGGGUGAAGAAGGUCUUCGGAUCGUAAAACCCUGUUGUUAGAGAAGAAAGUGCGUGAGAGUAACUGUUCACGUUUCGACGGUAUCUAACCAGAAAGCCACGGCUAACUACGUGCCAGCAGCCGCGGUAAUACGUAGGUGGCAAGCGUUAUCCGGAUUUAUUGGGCGUAAGGAGAACGCAGGCGGUCUUUUAAGUCUGAUGUGAAAGCCUUUGGCUUAACCGGAGUAGUGCAUUGGAAACU
rnacentral:rRNA from 1 species